UACGUAGGGUGCAAGCGUUGUCCGGAAUUAUUGGGCGUAAAGAGCUCGUAGGCGGUCUGUCGCGUCGGCUGUGAAAACUCGGGGCUCAACUCCGAGCUUGCAGUCGAUACGGGCAGGCUAGAGUUCGGCAGGGGAGACUGGAAUUCCUGGUGUAGCGGUGAAAUGCGCAGAUAUCAGGAGGAACACCAAUGGCGAAGGCAGCUCGCUGGGACGGUACUGACGCUGAGACGCGAAAGCGUGGGGAGCAAACAGG
rnacentral:rRNA from 1 species